rnacentral:lncRNA from 1 species
AUGUGGCAAUCUUUAAUGUAUGAUGCACACAUGAUAUCAUGUUUAUCCCUAUAUUUUUCUGUUAAAGAGAAAGUGAAAGUAAAAGAGGGAUGUAAAGAGACAGGGAGAGAAAAAGUGAAAAAACACAGAGGUUUGGGACAUGUUAAAAUAUUCAAACAUACUAAUCUUGUAUUUCCCUCUAGCUUCCCUGCCAAGAAGAAUGAUUUUCCAACCACUACUAACCAGCAAACGCAGCAGGCUGCACCUGAAACAUACAAAUAUGACAUCAAAAAAAGAAGUUUGGAGUGUCUGCUCCAUGUUGGAUAAAAAAACUAAAUAAAAUCCUGGGAAAUGUGAAGAAUGCCAAAGAAAUGGAAAAAUGAGGACAGAAAAGAAUACUACUACCUGGUAGGUAUUAUGUGAUGACAUAUAUUUAAUUAAUCAUAUGAAACAGAUAUUCACUAAAUUGUUGCUAUGAGGACAUGUCAGUUCAGAGAGAUUAAGUGAAUGUCCCAAAAUUACUCAUCUUUGACAGGGAUAAUAUUACAACUCCUGGCUGUGUGUCUUUGAAGUCUACUUUUUUCAAAUUGCAAACUAUUUUAAUAAUACAAAGAUGAACUAAGAUCAACUCUUAAGUAAUAUAAAAUAGUAUAAAAUAAGUGUUAAUAUGUGCAGCAAAGUAAAAUAUCAUAAAAUGAGAUCUAUAAGUGGGAUAUGCCCAUAGAUAAAUGCAAUCUAAGAAAAUAUGUUGAAAAAAGAUGUGGUUUGCACUGUAUCAUAACAUAUAGAUAGAAUUAGUGUAGGCAAUAAAGAAUGCAUUAAAAUGUGGUGGUUCCUGAAAAGAGACACAAAAAGACAAACUAAAUAUGAUUUGCUUCAGCAGCACUGAAGUUGUUGGAUUGACAGAAGUUGGAAUUAGACUUCUGAGUUAAUGAGAUAAAAUAGAGAUAGGUAACAGAGACAGCUAAGUGCUUUGUUGAUCUCAGCCCCAGUCAUGGAAAGUAUGAGAUUCUUUGAAAAUUCCUAAACAGGUUAGUUAUUUCAUCGGCAAUAUAAAGAAUAGAUAAGAUCAGAAGAAACUCAAAUGGCAUAUUAGUUGGUAUGCUUUUGCAUUAAUCAAACAUUGACUUGAUAAUGUCCAAAUGCAGAGGGUUGCUGGUAGACAUUACUAUUCAAGCAAUCGAUUGUUCAGUUUCUAAAAGAGUGGUAGAGAAGAUAAUCUGUAAGUCUCAUAAACUUGUAAAGCCUCCUGGUUAUAUUCUUUGUUAUAAUCUUUUUUCAAAAUGUAAGCUGAAAGUUGCAAAACUUCUCCAGUAAUUCUGCCAGUAUUUUUUCACUUGUUAUUCUUCUUCAUACAUAACUAAAACGUGUUCUGCUUUUAUAAAGAUUUUUUUUUUCUUUUCUUUAGGUUUCUGUGCCCAUAGGUCAAGCUGGAAAACAUUUUUCCAUAAAACCACGUGCAAUUUUAUGACACAGGUGAAAGAAUAGCCCAAAUCCACAAGGUACUGUUAUGUCCUACAAAUUCUUUCAGUCAUUACUGACGUGACUUAUACUUAAUACGUGAUUGUCUUACGUUACAUUAUAUUGUAACAUUACAUUACAUUAUACCAUGUAAAGCCCAAUUAAUGUCUUUUUUAUUUGCAUGGUCAGCGGAAUAUAUUAAAGCCUUGAGCAUAUAUGACGUGUGUCAUGGGCUGAAUUUUGUCCCUCCAAAAGUCAUAUGUUGAAGCCCUAACUUCUGGAAUCUCCGAAUAUGACUGUAUUUAGAGAUAAGAACUUUAUAGAGGCAAUUCAAUUAAAAAUAAGACCAUUAGGUUGAACCCUAAUCUAUUCUGACUGGUGUCCUUAUAUUAAGAGGGAAUUUGGAUGUACAAACAGAACCAGGGAUGUGUAGCACCAGAGGAAAGGUCACAUGAGAACACCGCUCUAAGGUGGAUAUCUGCAAACCAUGGAGACAGACUUCAAAAGAAACCGAAAUCUGACAACACCUCUGUCUUGCUCUUCUAGCCUUUAUAAACAGUAAGAACAUAAAUAUUGGUUGUUUAAGCCAUCCAGUUUUUAAUAUUUUGUUAUGGAAGACACAGAAAACUAAUAAAAGGUACAAAAAUACAGUAAAUAAUGCAUGUCACUUGAUAAAAAUCAAGUGAGAAACUUUUAGUACAUAAAUUAGGUAAAUAAAAUGUAAAAUGUUUAUCUUCAGCUUCUAUGUAAACAUGAAAUUACUUUUAACUUCUCUGAAUUCUCAUAUUUCUUCCUUAAUUUAUUCCAGGUUCAGAUAACGAGUGUAUUGUAAACAGUGUCUCAAACUUAAUUUGAUAACUGAAAGUGACUAUACUGAUAAUUUAAUUUCAAAGUUAUGUCUUCAACAUUUAUGUACCACAGAAACAUUUCACAAUAACAUUCUGAAAUUAAUGAAUUUUCCAGAAAAGUGAUUCCAAUCAUUUGAAACUUUUUACUUAUGUACAUGAUAAAUGUAAUGCAAAUAUAAGGCAUUCCACAAAUAUAUCUAAAUAUAUCACAGGAUAUAGCAUGUAAUGUAUUUCUAUAGAUCAAUAGGAAAUUCAUGAAAAUUAAAACCAAGUUUUGUAAAUCACACUGUACCUUUCCAUUGCUUGUGUUAGUAUUUAACUUUUCAAGUAUUUUAAUUGUUUUCCCUAGCCAGUCUAUAAAUUCAAGAAUUACUUCUUGUAUCACCCACAGCAAAAUCAGAAACAUAUAC